rnacentral:lncRNA from 1 species
ACAUCUGACUCUGAUCCAUCCAGUCAUGAGCUCUACUAGAUCCUUGUUGUUAGUCUUGUCUUUAGUUUCUUUCUAGGAUCAAUCUUUUGGGCCAUGUAAUGAUGUUGACUGAUUGACUUUUAUAUUUUGGUAUAUGUAUUGGAACAACUAUAUGGUAUCAGUCACUUUUUGAUUAUAUAUAUAUCUACUCUUUGACUUUUAUUGUAUAACCUUCAAAUUGAGUUACUUUCAAUUGUGUGCAUGCUUAAAAUACUUGAUAUCCAAUGGUAUAUUUUUUAUGACUGCUGUAUUCAGGGGGAGUAAAAUAAUACGCAAUUAGUAAAAUUAAUGUUAGUAAAAGAAGCUAACGAAGUAACAUUAGUAAAAAUAAUUCCAUCAAAAGAAAGAAAAAGAGAAAAUGUAUUCAAAGAAAAAGGGGGAGUAAACAAAUUUUGUUGAUGCUGUCAAAAAGGGG